GUGAAUCAUCGAAUCUUUGAACGCAAAUUGCACUCUCCGCUAAGAGUAUGCCUGUUUGAGGGUCAGCCUAUAAAAAAUCCACAUCGUUCCUGUUUCACGGUGGCACUCGUCGGAAAUUGGGUCAUCUUACAUCCUUUUGGUUUUUAAGCGACUUAAAAUUUUCUUUUUGUUUCCGUUAACGGUUCUAAGAUUUAUUUCUUUACACGUUUAAGGUAUCGAUUUUUAUUAGACGUGACCAUCAUAUCGGAUCGCGUCCAUAAACUUU
rnacentral:misc_RNA from 1 species